rnacentral:rRNA from 1 species
GAGUUUGAUCCUGGCUCAGAUUGAACGCUGGCGGCAUGCUUUACACAUGCAAGUCGAACGGCAGCACGGGGUUUACCCUGGUGGCGAGUGGCGAACGGGUGAGGAAUACAUCGGAACGUGUCUAUAAGUGGGGGAUAACGCAUCGAAAGGUGUGCUAAUACCGCAUAAUCUCUCAGGAGAAAAGCAGGGGAUCGCAAGACCUUGCGCUUUAGGAGCGGCCGAUGCCUGAUUAGCUUGUUGGUAAGGUAAAAGCUUACCAAGGCUUCGAUCAGUAGCUGGUCUGAGAGGACGACCAGCCACACUGGGACUGAGACACGGCCCAGACUCCUACGGGAGGCAGCAGUGGGGAAUUUUGGACAAUGGGGGAAACCCUGAUCCAGCCAUGCCGCGUGAGUGAAGAAGGCCUUC